AUUGAACGCUGGCGGCAUGCCUUACACAUGCAAGUCGAACGGUAACAGGUUAAGCUGGCGAGUGGCGAACGGGUGAGUAAUGUAUCGGAACGUGCCCAGUCGUGGGGGAUAACUGCUCGAAAGAGCAGCUAAUACCGCAUACGACCUGAGGGCGAAAGCGGGGGAUCGCAAGACCUCGCGCGAUUGGAGCGGCCGAUAUCAGAUUAGGUAGUUGGUGAGGUAAAGGCUCACCAAGCCGACGAUCUGUAGCUGGUCUAAGAGGACGACCAGCCACACUGGGACUUAGACACGGCCCAGACUCCUACGGGAGGCAGCAGUGGGGAAUUUUGGACAAUGGGCGCAAGCCUGAUCCAGCCAUGACGCGUGCGGGAAGAAGGCCUUCGGGCUGUAAACCGCUUUUGUCAGGGAAGAAAAGGUUCUGGCUAAUACCUGGGACUCAUGACGGUACCUGAAGAAUAAGCACCGGCUAACUACGUGCCAGCAGCCGCCGUAAUAC
rnacentral:rRNA from 1 species